rnacentral:rRNA from 1 species
AUGCUACUUGGGCCAACGGUCCCACUGAUUGCUGCUCUCUCUGCCUAUUGUGUUUUUCUUGGCUCCUCCCCGGUUGCCUGGAAGACCAAGAAGCAGACUGCUAUAUCUCUCUCCAGUGCGGAGGCUGAGCUGCGAGCUAUGGCGUCCAUGACUGCGGAAAUUACUUGGCUAUGGUGGCUUCUUCAGGAUUUUGGUGUUUCCAUUGCUGCACCGACCCCUCUGCUCUCCGACAGCACUGGGGCACUCAACAUUGCCCGUGAUCCUGUUAAGCAUGAUCUCACCAAGCACAUCGGUGUUGAUGCCUCCUACACGCGUUCUCAGGUGCAAGACAGAAUUGUGGCCCCUCAGUAUGUGCCCUCAGAGCUCCAGCUUGCUAAUUUUCUGACGAAAGCUCAGACACGGUCCCAAUACAGCUUUUUCCUAUCCAAACUCGGUGUCCAAGAUCCCCCUUGA